UUCAUCCUCCAGCUCUAGAUCCAGAUCUCGAUCUCCUGACAGUUCAGCUUCCCGCUCACAGUCCUCUCCAAGAUCUAAACAGAGAGAGGUGUCUCAAGCGCGAGUUCACGCCAAUCCUCAUGAUAGAGCCAAGAUGGGCUCCAGGUCAACAUCAGAGUCUAGGUCACGUUCUCGAUCUCGUUCCCGUUCCGCAUCAAGCGGCAGCAGAAAAUCUCUGAGCCCUGGAGUCUCCAGAGACGGCAACACCACCUACACUGAAACCAAAGAUCCCUCUUGUGGUCAGGAGGCUGCAGCUCCAUCAGUGCCACAGCUGCAGGUCCUUGAACCAAAGGAGAAGGCUCCCACGUGCUCAGCCUCUGUCCGGGGGAGGCAUAUGAGCCAGCCU
rnacentral:lncRNA from 1 species